CGUGCUCGCACGAGCAGAUCGCUCGUUGUGAGGUUUCUUUCCCCUCUGCCCAUCCUCCUGCGCUCGCACGCGAUGCGGCAGCGCCUCAGGCACGCACCCCGCACCUCCGGCAUCCCGGCUAUGCCCCUCCACCCAGGCAUCGGCUGGGCCUCUGCUUGGGAGCUAUGGGGUGCGGCGUGUAGCGGUCGGCGGACGGACGGGUUGCGGCAGGGGCGGGUGGUAGCGUGAGCUAGGGUGGCGCAAGGUGGGAGUGACGGGAAGCGGUGGACGCCGGGAUGAGAUCCCAUGUCGUGCAGCUUCGUUCCCCUCCGCCCGUCCUCCUGCACUCCAGAUGGAGGACGAGUAGCGCUGAGGAUCUGCAGAAGGACUAAAGGAACAAGAUCAGGGAGAAGGAUAGUCUGCCGCCUGUUUUUCUAGUUUGCAGAAAUAGAAAGCGUGCUCUGCUCUGGCUUGGAUGAGAUCAAUGGAUAAGCUGCUGAUGUGGUUUACUAGGUGGAGAUUCAGAGCAGGGAGAAAAACUGGUGCUUGUAAGGCUAUUUUCUUGGAUUCUGAAGGAGAGAAGAGACAUGGCGUGCAGCUGCUUGUUGUGCUGCUUUGGUUUUUGAGGGAAAGAAUCGUGUAGGCAAAUUUAUGAGCACGAGCUGUUGCUUGAUUCGAUGGAGGGAGGAUCUGGUGGACCUGCAGCUUGGUGGAUCUUUGGGUGCUUCUCAUAAUUUAUGUACAUCUAGGACCGCUAUAUUUCUUAAUAAUGUUUUGUCAAGUUAGUACCUGCUAUAAAACUUUUAACUUUUUUCCUUGA